rnacentral:rRNA from 1 species
AGUGAGCGCUGGCGGUAGGCCUAACACAUGCAAGUCGAACGGCAGCACAGUAAGAGCUUGCUCUUACGGGUGGCGAGUGGCGGACGGGUGAGGAAUACAUCGGAAUCUACUUUUUCGUGGGGGAUAACGUAGGAAACUUACCCCAAUACCCCAUACGACCUUCGGGUGAAAGCCGGGGAUCUUCGGACCUUUCCCGGUUGAAUGAGCCGAUGUCGGAUUAGCUAGUUGGCGGGGUAAAGGCCCACCAAGGCGACGAUCCGUAGCUGGUCUGAGAGGAUGAUCAGCCACACUGGAACUGAGACACGGUCCAGACUCCUACGGGAGGCAGCAGUGGGGAAUAUUGGACAAUGGGCGCAAGCCUGAUCCAGCCAUACCGCGUGGGUGAAGAAGGCCUUCGGGUUGUAAAGCCCUUUUGUUGGGAAAGAAAAGCAGCAGGUUAAUACCCCGCUGUUCUGACGGUACCCAAAGAAUAAGCACCGGCUAACUUCGUG